ensembl:snoRNA
GUGCAAAUGAUGAUAAAUUAACAGUAUGACAAAUAAUGAUACUGUAAACGCUUUCUGAUGCA